CAAAACUCUCUUUAAGAGAAUCUAAGAUAGCCUUGAAUUAUUUUUCUCCUGAUCUUUGGCACAUUAACUCUUAUCCUCCUUGUAGAGCUUUCCAAAUUCUGGCAAGUGUGUAACAUCUGUCUGCCAAAUUUAUAAGGAGGUCAAUCCUCAGGGAUUGAUAGCUAUGGAGGAGGCUGGUACUGUAGUUUGACAGUCUGGGCAGGAUUGUGUAAUUUGUCUGGCCUUGUCCAUGGUUGGCUGAAAAGCAUGCUGCAGUGCUUUUGCAUUUUGGUGGUAAAAGUCAUGAGAUAAGUGUGCCUGGGCAAAUUGAUCAGGAACAACAACCACUCCCUCUAGUUUGUCUGCUGGUGCAUUGCUUUGAGAAAUACAGCCAGGCAGAGAAGAGUGAGAGCAAACAUGCUGAAUAAAGUAAGGUUGUGAGCGAUGGUCCAAAAACCACUUUGUCUCACCCACAGUUACAUCUUCACCAACAUGUCCUAUCACUGUACACAACCAAAAAGAGUCUGGCCUCAUCCAUCUACCUCCCAUCUCCAUUUACAGAUCGUAGAAUAACUGAAUGUUAGAAUCACCAAGAUUAGAAAAGACCUACAAGAUCAUCCAGUCCAACUGUCCACCUAUCAACAAUAUUUCACACUAAACCAUGUCCCUCAGUACAACAUCUAAAUGUUUCUUGGGCACCUCCAGGGUCAGUGACUCCAACACCUCCCUGGGCAGCCCAUUCCAGUGCCUGACCACUCUUUCAGAGUAGUAUUUCCUAAUAUCCAACCUCAAUCUCCCAUGGUGCAACUUGAAGCCAUUCUCUCUAGUCCUAUUGCUGGUUACAUGGGAGAAGAGGCCAAUCCCCAGCUCACCACAACCUCCCUUCAGGUAGUUGUAGAGAGCAAUAAGGUCUCCCCUGAGCCUCCUCUUCUCCAGACUGAACAAUCCCAGCUCCUUCAGCCGCUCCUCAUGAGGCCUGUGCUCCACACUACUCAUCAGCUUUGUUGUCCUUCAUUGAACACGCUCCAGGGCCUCAAUGUCUUUCCUGCAGUGAGGGGCCCAAAACUGAACUCAGUUCUCGAGGUGCGGCCUCACCAGUGCUGAGUACAGG
ensembl:lncRNA